rnacentral:rRNA from 1 species
CCGCGUGAGUGAUGAAGGCCUUAGGGUCGUAAAGCUCUUUCGCCAGGGAUGAUAAUGACAGUACCUGGUAAAGAAACCCCGGCUAACUCCGUGCCAGCAGCCGCGGUAAUACGGAGGGGGUUAGCGUUGUUCGGAAUUACUGGGCGUAAAGCGCGCGUAGGCGGACUAUUAAGUCGAGGGUGAAAUCCCAGGGCUCAACCCUGGAACUGCCUCCGAUACUGGUAGUCUUGAGGUCGAGAGAGGUGAGUGGAAUUCCGAGUGUAGAGGUGAAAUUCGUAGAUAUUCGGAGGAACACCAGUGGCGAAGGCGGCUCACUGGCUCGAUACUGACGCUGAGGUGCGAAAGUGUGGGGAGCAAACAGGAUUAGAUACCCUGGUAGUCCACACCGUAAACGAUGAAUGCCAGUCGUCGGGUAGCAUGCUAUUCGGUGACACACCUAACGGAUUAAGCAUUCCGCCUGGGGAGUACGGUCGCAAGAUUAAAACUCA